UACGAAGGGGGCUAGCGUUGCUCGGAAUUACUGGGCGUAAAGGGCGCGUAGGCGGCACUGUUAGUCAGGCGUGAAAUCCCUCGGCUUAACCGGGGAACUGCGUCUGAUACUGGAUGGCUUGAGUUUGGGAGAGGGACGCGGAAUUCCAGGUGUAGCGGUGAAAUGCGUAGAUAUCUGGAGGAACACCGGUGGCGAAGGCGGCAUCCUGGACCAACACUGACGCUGAGUGAGCGAAAGCCAGGGGAGCAAACGGG
rnacentral:rRNA from 1 species